rnacentral:tRNA from 1 species
UAGUUCACUGGUAGAACAUGUGCUUAGCAUGCACAAGGUCCUGGGUUCAAUCCUCAG